CCUACGGGCGGCUGCAGUGGGGAAUAUUGCACAAUGGGCGCAAGCCUGAUGCAGCCAUGCCGCGUGUGUGAAGAAGGCCUUCGGGUUGUAAAGCACUUUCAGCGGGGAGGAAGGCGGUGAGGUUAAUAACCUCAUCGAUUGACGUUACCCGCAGAAGAAGCACCGGCUAACUCCGUGCCAGCAGCCGCGGUAAUACGGAGGGUGCAAGCGUUAAUCGGAAUUACUGGGCGUAAAGCGCACGCAGGCGGUCUGUCAAGUCGGAUGUGAAAUCCCCGGGCUCAACCUGGGAACUGCAUUCGAAACUGGCAGGCUAGAGUCUUGUAGAGGGGGGUAGAAUUCCAGGUGUAGCGGUGAAAUGUGUAGAGAUCUGGAGGAAUACCGGUGGCGAAGGCGGCCCCCUGGACAAAGACUGACGCUCAGGUGCGAAAGCGUGGGGAGCAAACAGGAUUAGAUACCCUAGUAGUC
rnacentral:rRNA from 1 species